rnacentral:rRNA from 1 species
GACGAACGCUGGCGGCGUGCUUAACACAUGCAAGUCGAACGGAAGGGCCCUGCUUUUGUGGGGUGCUCGAGUGGCGAACGGGUGAGUAACACGUGAGUAACCUGCCCUUGACUUUGGGAUAACUUCAGGAAACUGGGGCUAAUACCGGAUAGGAGCUCCUGCUGCAUGGUGGGGGUUGGAAAGUUUCGGCGGUUGGGGAUGGACUCGCGGCUUAUCAGCUUGUUGGUGGGGUAGUGGCUUACCAAGGGUUUGACGGGUAGCCGGCCUGAGAGGGUGACCGGCCACAUUGGGACUGAGAGACGGCCCAGACUCCUACGGGAGGCAGCAGUGGGGAGUAUUGCACAAUGGGCGGAAGCGUGAUGCAGCAACGCCGCGUGCGGGAUGACGGCCUUCGGGUUGUAAACCGCUUUCGCCUGUGACGAAGCGUGAGUGACGGUAAUGGGUAAAGAAGCACCGGCUAACUACGUG